rnacentral:sRNA from 1 species
AUAGAGCGAGGACGCUAACAGGAACAAUGACUCAGGAUGAGGGUCAGGAGCGCCAGGAGGCGAAGACAGAGGAUUGUCAGGAAGACAAACGUCCGGAGACGUAAUUAAACGGAAAUGGAAUCAACACGGAUUGUUCCGGCUAAUGGAAAAACAGGGUGUGUUGGCGGCCUGCAAGGAUUGUAAGACCCGUUAAGGGUUAUGAGAGUCAGGAAAAAAGGCGACAGAGUAAUCUGUCGCCUUUUUUCUUUGCUUGCUU